UACGGGGGGGGCAAGCGUUGUUCGGAAUUACUGGGCGUAAAGGGCUCGUAGGCGGCCAACUAAGUCGGACGUGAAAUCCCCAGGCUCAACCUGGGAACUGCGUCCGAUACUGGAUAGCUUGAAUCCGGGAGAGGGAUGCAGAAUUCCAGGUGUAGCGGUGAAAUGCGUAGAUAUCUGGAGGAAUACCGGUGGCGAAGGCGGCAUCCUGGACCGGCAUUGACGCUGAGGAGCGAAAGCCAGGGGAGCAAACGGG
rnacentral:rRNA from 1 species